AGAGUUCGAGACCAACCUGGCCAACACGGUGAAACCCCGUCUCUACUUAAAAUGCAAAAAUUAGCUGGGCUUGGUGGUGUACGCCUGUAAUCCCAGCUACUCAGAAGUCUGAGGCAGGAGAAUUGCUUGAUCCCGGCAGGCAGAGGUUGCAGUGAGCCAAGAUUGUUCCACUGCACUCCAGCCUGGGCAAAAGAGCGAGACUCUGUCUCAAAACAAAACAAAAAAGUAGAUUCCCAGUCUCUACCACUAGAGCUACUGAUUCAGUAGAUGAGGCCUAGCAUCAUAGUUUCUCAAAUGACUCCGAUGCUCUGGGUUGAAAGCUACUGCCCUAGCCUGAAUAGGAGUUUUGAGGGCUCUUUCCUCCUUCCAGCCCCAAAUACUUUCCAGAGGGCUCUAGGCUGGAAUCCAAACCACCUUGAGGUGUUUAGGAAUAGUGGUGAACUGGAGCAAGCAUAGGAUUAUGUAAUCUGACUGGUUUUAGAUUUUGGCUCUUCCACAAACUAGCUAUGUGAACUUAAACAAAUGGUUUCCCUUGCAGUGCCUCUGUUUCCUCAGUUUAAAAAUGGGGGACAAUUAUAUUAGCCUUAAAGAGGUGCUCUGAGGAAUAAAAUGGUUAAAAAAUGUAAGGGGAUGGUAAUAGCACAAUAAUUUGGUCAGAAUAAUCAUGCCUCAGAUAGCAAUUAUAAAACUGAAACAAGGGCCAGGUGCCGUGGUUCACGCCUGUAAUUCCAGCACUUUUGGAGGCUGAGGAAGACAGAUCAUUUGAGGUCAGGAGUUUGAGACCAGCCUGGCCAACAUGACGAAACCUCAUCUCUACUAAAAAUACACAAAAAAUUAGCCAGGCUUGUGGUGCACACCUGUAAUCCCAGCUGCUCGGGUGGCUGAGGCAGGAGAAUCACUUGAACCCAGGAAGUNNNNNNNNNNNNNNNNNNNNNNNNNNNNNNNNNGAGGCAGAGGUUGCAGUGAGCUCAGA
rnacentral:lncRNA from 1 species